CACACGAACGGGACAUGAAGAUCUUAUGAACUGGCGCCAGCCAGUUGUCAUUGCGGUCAUAUAAAUCCACAGCAUCAUCAGGCUGCAUGAGGCGCAGGUGUACACCUUCCAAUCAGCGCACCUGCGCGGACACCCGCACAGCUCGUGCUGAAGCGGCAGGAUCAUAACAUUUUCCCUUCAUCCUAGGAGAGACACUCCUUUUGCAUAGUGUGCCUGAAACCUUCCGCCAGCUGUUGCAACCUUGUUUGGAUCCAUUUCUUCACUUCCUUACCGUAUUUGAAGUCCUCCACCCUCACUAUCUCUUCUCGCUGUAGCCUCACUCUUCCCCCUCCACCCCUCUCAUUCACGCACAUAUAUUCUGUUUUACUUUGGUUAAACUUCAUUCCUCUCAUUUCCAGUGCAUGCCUCCAUCUUUCGAAUUGUUCCUCUGCCUGCUCCCUGCUUUCACUGCAUAUCACAAUAUCAUCUGCUUUUCUUGUUUAUAAAAUCCUGUAAGAAACUAUUUGCAAAGCUGGCACAUCAAGGAAGGGUGGGUUGAGUCUGCGAUGUAAGAGGCUAGAUUCCUAGUGGCCGGGCCUGGCGCAACCGGCUGGAAGACCACAGAGAAAAAAGGGGGCGACCACCCAUCCCAGAGGAUGUGCCGACACCGUAACAUAGGCCAUGAAGUCAGCUGGGGACCCCACACAGCCCGAACGAGAGAGGGGCGACAACUAGGACAUCACUUUGGUGCGGGCAGCAUGGGAUCGACUGUUCUUAAGUGUUUGAGCGCCUGCCAUCUGGAAAGCAGAACCGAAGCGGGAUAUGCGACCCAUGUGCUACUACAUGUUUUCAAUGGUGACUGUCCCAGUGUGACGCCUGCUGAUGACGUUGCAGGCAAUAUUGCUACCACUUGGAUGUCAACAAUGUCAAAUGUUCCUUGCCUGGGAAAGACUCGCCUUCACAUCACGUAUGGCAGCAUUCGGCAGUCUUGACAGUGGGACACAGGCGCCACGCAAAGGAAAUCAAAAGCCACUGCAACCUCACCCCACCCCAACUGACAUGGACAGGAUACAAGGCAGUGAUCCCUGCUUCUGAAAGAUAAGUCUAGUAUGGUGUGUGUAAUUCCUGGCCAAGUAUUUAACACUCCAUUUGCUACUUCGAGCACUCCGAAUCUCCACUAUAUUGAUACAUGCUUCUUCGGUCUUUAUAAUGAAGAGGAGGUCUAGCUCAUUUUGCUGCUGCGGGGCUUCCGGGGUCAACGGCUUGCACAUAACAAGGGGCCAUGCCUCUCAGGACAAAGCCCCAACCAAGUGCGUCACCUGUCACCUGCAAUCAUGGGUUGCAUCUUAUGACUGGGGUUGAAGACUUCUGAACAAUAGGAAGAAAUCCUGGAGAGUGAAGCUGGAGGGAAUUCAAACUGCCUCGACGGCCACUUGUCACCCUUUUCAGGUGCUGCAUCAGACACAUGGCUGUUGUCCGAUCCGGAGCCUCCUUAUGGUUCACCAGCCAGGCUAUGAGCUCCUCCGCUACAAAGCAAUUUGGAUAUGUUCGAAGUCUUCAAGGAGCGCUGCUUCCUGUGGGAUCUUGACGUGAAAGCAAAGGACGCCGUCUGGCAGAGGCUGCGGCGCCCAGAUAAAACGCAGUGGAAAUUGGGCUUCCCCUCUUCUCGCUUCCUCAGGCAAACAAAUCACAUUUGUAUUCAGUGACACAGGAAGAGAGAAGCGGCAAUCCGUGGCAGCCGGUCCUCGCUCCUCUGGACACUUCAAGAGGAAUAAAACUUUGUCUUCUUUUCUGCACUGUUUGUCACUUUGUCAUCCGCAAUCAUGUUUUCUCGCCACAUUUCCUUCACAGUUCAGGAGCGGAAUAAUAUUUGGACGAGGAACCUGCUUCCAAGGCCAUUGUGCACAUCAGAUCCUUUCACGUUUGACCCCGUGACAGCUCCCUGCUCACCCUUCCCACCACAGGUGCAAAAAUACUUUCCCUUUGAAAACAGGCAUUGGCCCUGUAGCCCGCCCCGCAGUGCUGGGACUUCAUGAAUCAUGUAGCAGAUAACAUGCUCAGAAAUACUCUCACUGCUCGCAACAGUGGACACAGACAGAAGAAUGCUGCAGAGAGUCACCAUUGUGUGGGGAGAGUCAGAGGAAUGCAGGCACACACGGACACCAAUGAACACAACCAGAGGCCUCCAGCCUCAAGAGGAGGCCUGGGCCAGCAGAGCCGACUGUUUAACAGGACUUACUACAUUGUUUGGACGUGUAACGUCAAACCCAUGUUUCCUGGACAGCUUUUGGCCGGAUUUGCUUCAGAGGAGCGCCCUGAGUGACUGUUGGAGAUUAGAUAGAAAUAAAUGUGGAUUUUCAAAGAAGCAUUCUUUAAUCAGGUGUGCAAACAUUUCAGACAAACACUGCUGAUCAAGAAGCGAGUCGACGUGAAUGCUCCUAAUCUUCGAUGGCGAGUGGCCGGUUUUGACCCCUAAAAUCAGGAGAGCUCCAGUUCCAGCUUGGUUUUUCUUCACAGUUGUUUUGCAACAGUAAGAGUACAAAAUUGAUAGUCGUCUGAGAGCGCCGCAUCACGUGAGGCGCAGAGCAGUGAUUUGGACAGAGGACAGGAUGGACGAGGGGCUUCCUCUUUCACUUCCUAUAUGAGGACCCAGUCAAGUGACUCUUUGUGAGAGCGUUAAGCUUGUAUUUCGCAGGAAAACACAGCUUGAACGGCUGUGGUUUCCGCUCAGGAUGUCCAGUCGUUUCUGGGCAGUUGUGACACAGUGAAUCAUGCCGUUGUCACACACGCACUUCAUAGAUGUUGCACACAUCUCCUUGGACACUGCACGCACACAAUGUAAAAUCAGUGCACGAGCCGU